AGUAAAGUGCCUGAAAAAAGGGGUAUCUUGAUAGGGUACAUCAUGUAAUUAAAUACCUUUACUU
rnacentral:tRNA from 1 species